rnacentral:lncRNA from 1 species
AUGGAUAUCAGCAUGAAGAGUACAGCCAUCCUUUUCGUCAUCUACUGUAACAUGAUCAUCACGGUCUCACCGGCAUUUCGAUUUCCAGCUCAACGAAAGCAGAACAUAUGGGUCACCCUCACCAACAAGAUGGGACAAGACACGCUCUGUUUGUCAACUGCGUCACCAGGAAACCCGUUCUCGUGUUUGAUGGGACAACCCCUGAAGAAAUGGCCCGCCCCACGCUAUGCACCCAACAGGAAGGCAGCAGUCGACAAAUGGGAUGGAUGGGUAAAACAUCUGCAACAGCGCAAUCUGGAACCACAACAACUGGAGCUGCUGGGUUCGGUUAAAAUGGAUUACUGUUUGUAUUUUAACUACAGUGGAGAGAAUCAACCAUUAGUUCAGUCUGUCAAUGCCAGAUUAGCUGCUUACAGAAAUCACUCUGCUUGGUGUAACUAUACUUCACCUAACUUCUCAAGAUCUAGUAGCCAUCCACUUAGCUUGCCAGCAGGAGUUUUUCUCAUCUGUGGGGACAGGGCAUGGCCUGCUAUCCCCUCUCGCAUCAGAGGAGGUCCAUGCAGUUUGGGAAGACUAACUUUACUAAAACCUAAUAUCUCUAUGAUUACUCCCCCCCAGAAGCGCUACAAGCAGGCUAGACAUGCUUUUCAAUCAGAGUGCACAAAUAAUGUGGAAGUUCGGAACCCUGGGGAAAUAACAGCAGCAUCCUUUUUAGCCCCAGGCGUUGCAUCAGUUAAAGUAUUGAGCACGCUUAAAAAAAUUGGAUGCUGGCUGACCAAGCAAACAAAUGCUACUCCCUUGGCUCUAAAUGGAUUGCUACUAGAUAAAGACUCAGUACUGCACGCUACCUUACAACAUCGUGCUGCUAUAAGCUUCUUGCUGUUAGCUCAAGGCCACAGGUGUCGGGAUUCUGAUGGCAUGUGUUGCAUGAAUUUGCCAGAACAUCCAAAGUCAAUAUAUAAGAGCAUUGAGGAUUUGCAGAAUGCAGUUAAGAAAUCCCAGGUUGAUGACGGGUUGGAUAUACUUGGAAGCUUCUUCGGAAACCCAGGAGUGUGGAUGCAGAAUGUGUACAACAUAGGGAUAGUCUGUCUUAUUGCUUUUCUCUGCAUUUUAGUUUGCACUCCUUGCUUACUGAAGUGUGCUCGGAAAAUGAUACAAGCUUUUUUCGUUAGUAAGGAGGGGGGAGAUGUGGGAGAUGGAUAG